GCCUUCUUCACUUCCAAUGCCACCGCUCAGGCUUCAAGGAAGUCCUCCCCAAGAGUGACCAAUGAGGCUGUUCAAAAGGCUGUAAGUGUUUUGAUAUAUUAAAAUUCCAUUUUUCUUCUUUCAAACAACCGGUAAUCGUUUCCAUCAUUGAAAUCUUUAUUUGCUUACCAUGUUUUACUGUACUUGCAUUCUCAGGCUGCUGCUUUGAAGGGCUCUGACCACCGCCGUGCAACAAACGUUAGUGCUAGGCUGGAUGCCCAGCAGAAAAAGCUUAAUCUGCCAGUCCUCCCCACCACAACCAUUGGAUCCUUCCC
rnacentral:lncRNA from 1 species